rnacentral:rRNA from 1 species
UACCCGAAUGUGGAAACCCAGUGUGACUCGUCUCACUAUCAUUAACUGAAUCCAUAGGUUAAUGUGGCGAACCGGGUGAUCUGAAACAUCUAAGUACCCCGAGGAAUAUAAAUCACCCGAGAUUCCCCCAGUAGCGGCGAGCGAACGGGGAGGAGCCCAGAGCCUUAAUCAGCAUGUUUGUUAGUGGAAGCGUCUGGAAUGGCGCGCGAUACAGGGUGACUGUACCGUACACAAAAGCGCAUGUGUUGUGAGCUCGAUGAGUAGGGCGGGACACGUGGUAUCCUGUCUGAAUAUGGGGGGACCAUCCUCCAAGGCUAAAUACUCCUGACUGACCGAUAGUGAACCAGUACCGUGAGGGAAAGGCGAAAAGAACCCCGGCGAGGGGAGUGAAAAAGAACCUGAAACCGUGUACGUACAAGCAGUGGGAGCACCCUUUUGGGUGUGACUGCGUACCUUUUGUAUAAUGGGUCAGCGAAUUAUAUUAUGUAGCAAGGUUAACAGAAUAGGGGAGCCGGAGGGAAACCGAGUAUUAAUUGGGCGUUAAGUUGCAGGGUAUAGACCCGAAACCCGG